GAAGACAUUAACAAUUUACCUCCUAUUGAAGAAAUACAUGGUCUUAAUUCACCGCCUGUUGAAGAAACAUAUGAACUUAAUUCUUUAUUUAUUGAAGAACCUCCUGAUCCCGAUAUCCCGACACAGGUAGUAAAGGUAAAUUCUCUCUAUAGAUAUGAUAAAGCUGAAGUCCCUCCUACUAAAAUUGCUAGUCAGUGCUUGGAAGAGUUUGAUAACUUUAUGUUUAAGCAAGAUGACUUCAAUGCUUAUUCUGGUAGACAAUUAAAGGAAAAUGCCUAUAUGAUUAGACGCUUGGGUGAUUAU
rnacentral:rRNA from 1 species